rnacentral:rRNA from 1 species
UACGUAGGCAGCGAGCGUUGUUCGGAAUUACUGGGCGUAAAGAGUGUGUAGGUGGUGUCGUAAGUUUGGUGUGAAAUCUCCCGGCUUAACUGGGAGGGUGCGCCGAAGACUGCGAUGCUGGAGUAUGGGAGAGGGAUGCGGAAUUCCAGGUGUAGCGGUGAAAUGUGUAGAGAUCGGGAGGAACACCGGUGGCGAAGGCGGGUCUCUGGGCAAUUCCUGACGCUGAGGCGCGAAGGCCAGGGGAGCAAACGGG